UACGUAGGUGGCAAGCGUUGUCCGGAUUUACUGGGCGUAAAGAGCGCGCAGGCGGUCGGAUCAGUCGAAUGUGAAAGCCCCCGGCUCAACUGGGGAGGGUCAUUCGAUACUGUCCGACUCGAAGGCAGGAGAGGGAAGCGGAAUUCCCGGUGUAGUGGUGAAAUGCGUAGAUAUCGGGAGGAACACCAGUGGCGAAGGCGGCUUUCUGGCCUGUUCUUGACGCUGAGGCGCGAAAGCUAGGGGAGCAAACAGG
rnacentral:rRNA from 1 species